GAUGAACGCUGGCGGCGUGCUUAACACAUGCAAGUCGAACGGAAAGGCCCAAGCUUGCUUGGGUACUCGAGUGGCGAACGGGUGAGUAACACGUGGGUGAUCUGCCCUGCACUUCGGGAUAAGCCUGGGAAACUGGGUCUAAUACCGGAUAGGACCACUUCUUGGAUGUUGUGGUGGAAAGUUUUUUCGGUGUGGGAUGAGCUCGCGGCCUAUCAGCUUGUUGGUGGGGUAAUGGCCUACUAAGGCGUCGACGGGUAGCCGGCCUGAGAGGGUGUACGGCCACAUUGGGACUGAGAUACGGCCCAGACUCCUACGGGAGGCAGCAGUGGGGAAUACUGCACAAUGGGCGCAAGCCUGAUGCAGCGACGCCGCGUGGGGGAUGACGGCCUUCGGGUUGUAAACUCCUUUCGCUAGGGACGAAGCGUUUUGUGACGGUACCUGGAGAAGAAGCACCGGCUAACUACGUG
rnacentral:rRNA from 1 species